rnacentral:rRNA from 1 species
AUUGAACGCUGGCGGCAGGCCUAACACAUGCAAGUCGAGCGAGCGGCGGGCGGGUGAGUAAUGCCUGGGAAUUGCCCAGUCGGGGGGGAUAACAGUUGAAAAGGACUGCUAAUCCCACAUCAGAUUGGGUUGCCAAGGUGGGAUGAGCUAGUGGGUGGGGUAAUGGCUCACCAAGGCGACGAUCCCUAGCUGGUCUGAGAGGAUGACCAGCCACACUGGAACUGAGACACGGUCCAGACUCCUACGGGAGGCAGCAGUGGGGAAUAUUGCACAAUGGGGGAAAGCCUGAUGCAGCCAUGCCGCGUGUGUGAAGAAGGCCUUCGGGUUGUAAAGCACUUUCAGCGAGGAGGCGUUACUCGCAGAAGAAGCACCGGCUAACUCCGUGCCAGCAGCCGCGGUAAUUC